AACGUACGCUGGCGGCACGCCUAACACAUGCAAGUCGAACGAAGUAGCAAUACUUAGUGGCAGACGGGUGAGUAACAUGUAGGUAUCUACCCUUUGGCCUGGAAUAACACGAGGAAACUUGUGCUAAUACCGGAUAAGUCUUUACGGAGAAAGCUUUAUGCACCAUUGGAUGAGCCUGCACUUGAUUAGUUUGUUGGUGGGGUAAUGGCCUACCAAGACUGUGAUCAAUAGCUGAUUUGAGAGGAUGAUCAGCCACAUUGGGACUGAGACACGGCCCAAACUCCUACGGGAGGCAGCAGUGGGGAAUCUUGCACAAUGGAGGAAACUCUGAUGCAGCGAUGCCGCGUGAGUGAAGAAGGCCCUUGGGUUGUAAAGCUCUUUCGUCGGGGAAGAAAAUGACUGUACCCGAAUAAGAAGGUCCGGCUAACUUCGUGCCAGCAGCCGCGGUAAUACGAAGGGACCUAGCGUAGUUCGGAAUUACUGGGCUUAAAGAGUUCGUAGGUGGUUGAAAAAGUUAGUGGUGAAAUCCCAGAGCUUAACUCUGGAACUGCCAUUAAAACUUUUCAGCUAGAGUAUGAUAGAGGAAAGCAGAAUUUCUAGUGUAGAGGUGAAAUUCGUAGAUAUUAGAAAGAAUACCAAUUGCGAAGGCAGCUUUCUGGAUCAUUACUGACACUGAGGAACGAAAGCAUGGGUAGCGAAGAGGAUUAGAUACCCUCGUAGUCCAUGCCGUAAACGAUGUGUGUUAGACGUUGGAAAUUUAUUUUCAGUGUCGCAGCGAAAGCGAUAAACACACCGCCUGGGGAGUACGACCGCAAGGUUAAAACUCAAAUGAAUUGACGGGGACCCGCACAAGUAGUGGAGCAUGUGGUUUAAUUCGAAGAUACGCGCAGAACCUUACCAACACUUGACAUGUUCGUCGCGACUCUAAGAGAUUAGAGUUUUCGGUUCGGCCGGACGAAACACAGGUGCUGCAUGGCUGUCGUCAGCUCGUGUCGUGAGAUGUUGGGUUAAGUCCCGCAACGAGCGCAACCCUCACUUUUAGUUGCCAUCAUUAAGUUGGGCACUCUGAAAGAACUGCCAGUGAUAAGCUGGAGGAAGGUGGGGAUGACGUCAAGUCCUCAUGGCCCUUACGUGUUGGGCUACACACGUGCUACAAUGGUAUCUACAACAGGAAGCAAGACUGCGAGGUCAAGCAAAUCCUUAAAAGAUACCUCAGUUCGGAUUGCACUCUGCAACUCGAGUGCAUGAAGCUGGAAUUACUAGUAAUCGUGGAUCAGCGUGCCACGGUGAAUGCGUUCCCGGGUCUUGUACACACCGCCCGUCACACCAUGGGAGUUGGUUCUACCUUAAGGCAAGGUUUCAAACCCUUGACCACGGUAUAGUCAGCGACUGGGGUG
rnacentral:rRNA from 1 species